CCUACGGGUGGCAGCAGUGAGGAAUAUUGGUCAAUGGCCGAGAGGCUGAACCAGCCAAGUCGCGUGAGGGAAGACGGCCCUACGGGUUGUAAACCUCUUUUGUCGGGGAGCAAAGCGAACCAGGUGUGGUUCCUUGAGAGUACCCGAAGAAAAAGCAUCGGCUAACUCCGUGCCAGCAGCCGCGUUAAUCGGGAGGAUGCGAGCGUUAUCCGGAUUUAUUGGGUUUAAAGGGUGAGCUGGCGGAGGUGCAAGUCAGCGGUAAAAUUGCGGGGCUCAACCCCGGACUGCCGUUGAAACUGGAGCCCUUGAGUGCGCGAGAAGUAUGCGGAAUGCGUGGUGUAGCGGUGAAAUGCAUAGAUAUCACGCAGAACUCCGAUUGCGAAGGCAGCAUACCGGAGCGCAACUGACGCUGAUGCACGAAAGCGUGGGUAUCGAACAGGAUUAGAUACCCCGGUAGUC
rnacentral:rRNA from 1 species